rnacentral:lncRNA from 1 species
UGGGGGAGGGGGCGGGGGACGCCGCUGAGGGGCCUGGUGGCGGCGGCCGUUCCUCGUCCUGACCGACACCUGCGCCGCCUUUGCAGGGACCGCCACGAAGGACGAAGACCCCAUCCGAGCGGGACCCGCCGGCGGGGGGGCUGCUCGUUACCAAGGCAACCGCUCCUUCUCGGCCCCCCAAACACGGCAGAGGGGCCAGGGCCGUGGAAACAACCGGAAGAGCGCCCUGCGGCCCCGCCUCGAGGCCCUUGGCGGGAAGAGGAGAAGACGAGCGGUGCCGGGACUGGACUGCGAUAACCGGGAGCACCUGGAACGUGAUGGGGCCCUCCGAGAAGCCCCUGCAGGGGUGGGGUGGGGAGAGGAGUCCACGGAGCGUGGCCCGGGCAGCACACGCGGCGGCUUCGCCCUUGCUGCCCCUGCUCGGCGGGGCGCCCCUUCUGGCUCUGGAACCGGUUCCCGGGACACGCAGGGAUGCUGUGGAGGACGCAAGGCCCGGCGGGUGGGCGCUUGGAGGCCCCCUCUCUGGGGCCCGCCCCGCCCCUCCGCGGCCACGCUCGGGCCCCGUGGAGCACGGGUGGAGCGCCGCCGAAGAAGCCCGGCCCGCUCGCUGCUCAGGCAGCUCUCGCAGGCGGCAGCGUCGUGGCUCCGGCGCGGGAUGGCGCCCGUGGCCGUCGCGUCCCAGCGCCGAGGACGGACGGAGCCCGCCCUCCUCUUCGCCCAUCAGCCGUGCCGUGGCCGCCAGAGCCACCCAAGAAAGGGCCACCGCGGUGGUGAGGAAGACAGACCGAAGCACCUGAUUCCCGUUCUGAGAACCUGGCCUGUGACCGGAAGAGGUCCCAACUGAGGUCCUGGCCUUGGCCCCCAUUUCUCCUCCGAGUCAAGACCGCCACGUGGGCUCUGCCCCCACCAUCCAGCGGCUUCUCUGUGGGGAUCUGUUUGCUGGAUCUGCUCCCUCCCCCACGCCCUUUGAGGCACCGCAUCGAAGGCUGCCAGUCACGUCGUCGUCGUCUCUCAUUAAUGCUUCGGAGGACGAACGAGACAAUAUAAUCGCUCCCUGCACACCUGUCAGGUAGGUGCUGCGUUAGGCAGAAUGUUUGAGGUUGUUUUCAGUUCUGAUCAAAGUGAUUGAAACAGAUGUACCUCGCGAGUCUUAUUAAAUGGCAGGGAAAACUGCUCAUCAGACAUCUGACUGGUCCCGCGAAUUCUUUGUAUGCAGACGAUGUUGCUUUUUCCCCCUUAGAUAAACAAGUGUUUAGUUUUCUGAUCGAUACUUAAGAUUGGGCAAGCUGGAGGAGAAUCCAUUUAAUCCCAGACAUAGUGGCAAUGGCCUGUUGUGAUGCUCUCCUGAUACAGAGUUUAGAAGUAAUUGCUCCCUUUGACAAAGGGAAACAUUAUCUGCUUCGCAUUCAUUCACUCGUUUAUUUAUGUAUUCAAUAAAUAUUGACUGGGUACCUAUCA